AGCUGACUUGAAGGUAUCCAGCUUCUCAAGAUGUUCCUUCACGAAGUCAGCAUUAAUGGAGGGCAGGGGAUCACCCUCACCUGGACUUCCCGGCCCUGUAGCGGGCAUGGGCGUCCUAUGGGGCUGAUGAAAGACUGACGCAAAGUACCUAUUUAAUAGGUUGGCUUUUUCCUGGGCGUCAGUUGUCAGUUGCCCCAUCUGGUUCAGCAGCGGUCCAACGUUGCCCCUGCUUUUCCUCCGGCUCCCCACAUAUCUGAAAAAGGACUUUUUAUUGUCCUUGAUGCUCAAAGCCUGUCCACCCUGUCAAUCAUUGCUAGCAGCACCUCCAGCUAUCUCAGGGCUAUCCCUCUUCACACAGAUCUGUUAAUGCAGUCUGUCCUCACCUCAUGCACUCUCUGAUCUGGUUCAAUGCCCUGUACUCAGUUAUGCCAAUACACCUUUGACUUUUGAAUGCUGUGGGUUACUAGUGGUGUAGAGGCUGUUUCAACUCCAGUUCCAUUCUGCUCUCAGUUCACAGUGCCUAGACAGUUAGUGCCUCUGAGCUGAAAUCUGUGGAUGUAGUGCCCCUGAGAUGGAUCCUCCCCUUGAUACUGGCCUCCUUUGUGGUCUGUUGUUGAAAAACUGGUUAUUAAAACUAAGUGAUCUUACUGUUGCUAGGAUACUGGAGAGUCCCAGUGCAAGAUCUCAGCUUAGUCUCUUGUCUGUCUGUACAGGUUCUUUGACUAGCACUCAGCAUCAUAAGAGCUAAGUCGCCAAGUAAUUUGGCAUGCCCUCUAUCUUGCAGCCUCUGAGGCUGUUCUGGAGGACUCCUUCCUUGUACCUCUUCCCUGGACUGAUUGCCUUAAUUGUAUCUACGACAGCAGCAGAGAAGAGGGAAGGUUUCAACUCCAUAACCCUGUUAUUCUCUGUGGCACAAAAGAUUGGCAAAGGCGGAGACUGUGUGAGCAACUCUCUGAGGAUCUACAGUAAUCACCUCUGGGUGAGUGGCUCCUUUUGUCAGGUCUAUCCAAGCAUGGCACACUUGGGUUGCUGCCUUCUCCCUGCAGUCAAUCUCCCUUGUAAUUUAGCUGCUCGCACCCAGCAUGUGAAGGAGGCUAGAGGCCUUAAAUAGAGAUCAGAAUGAGACGGCUUUUUGUAUGCCUGGUCUGCAUGUUGCUGUUUCUCCCAUAGUUGCUCAAGGGUGUCUGUAACAGCACCUCUGCUCACCCAUGUUCAGCACCCUGUCCUUCCUGAAGAUACAGCACCCUUCAUUCAGGACCUGGAGGACCCCAAUGAGGUAUCUGUAUCUAGGGUCUCUCCUCUAUGAAUCAAUUCCCUUCUUUCCUGCCCUCUUCCCUGUUAGGAAAGGUCCCUGAGCUGUCCACCCAGCUGAAGCCUUUGGCAUUAUUCUUCUGGCUAGAUAGGUGUUUGAAGCUAAGGCCUUGCCUGUUUUAGAGAUAUCAGACAAGGAUAACUUCCCUCCCUUGAGUCAAAAGCACCAAAGAUAAACACACUUCAGCAGCUUGCUGGUCAAACUGAUCACCCCUAGCCCAUGCUAAUGAGCAGCUUGGUUCUGUCCCUGAAGCAGUCCAGCUCCGGGGGUACUUACUUGUCCAACAUGGCAUCAUCCCAAAUCAUGGGGCCAGGGGUUCCCUCCACAAGUUCAGUCACAGAAAUGCUUGUUUUUUAUCCCUGUGAGUCACAGGCAGUGGAUCCUUCUGUGACUCCUAAAGGGCAGAGUGAAUGUCAGAGCUGGGAGGUGACUUCCGGAAAGCCAAGGCCUGGAAGGAAGGAUUUUUCUCCACCACUUAAAAAGCAGUUGGUGCCUCUUGUCCCACAGCCACCCACUGGCCAGAUGGUGCCCAACAAAGCGAGUAGGAAGGCACUCAAGGCAAACUCUGUCCAUCUGAAGAAGCCCAGAAAGGUCUUGUUUGAGCUCAGGGCAGCUGAAGGGGAGCAGGACCAUGAAGCAACUCUGGUUCCCCAGAUGAAGAAUGGGGCACAGGCCUUGUGACAAUAGCUUUCAGGUGUCUCUUCUGGGUAUUGUCAGGUUGACUCCCAGAUUUGUGCAUGCUACCUCUGAGGAGAGCUUCCCAGUAUGUUUCUAACUCUACCUCCCAGGCAAGAGGGUCCUCUGUGUCCUCCUCAGAACACUGAGACUCUCUCUCUACUUUCCCCUGAACAAGCCACACAAACAUGCAACCUCUGUCCACUGGGCCAGGGCCAGAUAUAGAAUCUGGGGUCACUUGCAUGCCAGUGCAUUGCACCAUGUAAUACAAUUCCUUAACUCUUCAUAAGCCCCAUUUUACAGAUAAAGAAACUGAGACACAGAGAAACCUACUCCAGGUCCCACAGUAAAUAAGCGGCAGAGCUGUGUGACUCCUGACUCUAGGUUCGGUGCCCUGACCAUGGCUCUUCUUGUAUUCCUUCCCAGUAACAUAUGACUUGGUCCAUAUAAACAUGCCAGCAGUUGUUAACUCUUUAGAGUGCCAGAGGAAUAUAUUUUUAAAAUGUGCUUGCAUUGAACUUCUGAAGGUUUUCUUUUUAAGUCAGAAAGGAGCUGGGGAGUAGGGAAUGGGGAAUAGAGCCUCUCUAGAGCAUGAACUUCUGUUCAGCCCUAGGGUUGUGACCAAGUCAGGUACACUUGGAAGCUGUUCAGUGAUCCUUAUGUAAAAUGAGUGAUUGGGUCUCGGUCCAGUUUCUAAUGAGGCAAAAUUGCUGUCCCAGCAGUUCUCUUGGUUGGCAUUUUGGGCAGAAAUGGAGUUAUGGAGAGGGAACUCUUGUUUUGUCUUUGUGGGCAAAGCACAGUAGCAGGGUGGGGGUUGUUAACUGCCCUUCUGUUAACUGUGCUUAUGCCCUGUGCUGGGGAAACAGACAUCUUCUGUCUCUAGGGUUUUCCCCAGCACUAAACUCUCCUGGAUUGUUUAAGACCCCAGUCCUGAACCUGGAGUUUCAUGCAGACAGGCAGACUCCUUUGAGUCAGCCUGUCAACUUCUUCUGGAUUGGAGAGGAACCAGUAUGCUACAUGAGGCUGCAUAUCCACUCCCAGCCCCUUCCUAUGGAGUGAAUGUGUGUUGGGGGGAGAGACAGAAAAGCACUUAACUUGUUGGAGGAUUGAGAACCUCCAGGCUUCAACUCCUAGCUGUUGCCUUGAAACCAUUACCUCUGUGUUUUCUUUCUGCAGACUUGAAGAUGAAGGAGCUGCAAGGUGAGGACCUUAUCCCUAGACCCUGGCCUGUCUUCUCCACUGCUUGGUAAUCUCAUUCCUUUAGCAUCAUGGGCCCCUGUCUGAAUGUUCACACUAGUCUCUCUCACUUCCCAAGGCUCAGGAUCUGUCAAUGGGCUGUGCUUGCUUUGUGUCUUCCCCAUAGUAUGGUCCCUAAACUGCAUGCCCCAGACAUUAGGAGGAGGACAGGAUUUAUCUUCAACACCACAUGAAUCUCAGCUCUGCAUUCAGGGGACAGUAGAUAGUGCUGCCUGAGGGGAGCUGGGUAAAAUGAACUAUAGACUACCAAACUUUCUCACCAGUUUGGAGUUCUGUGGAUAGGGGAGAAGUCUUGGAAGGGAAGAAAGAAGGAAAUGAAGCAUGGGUAAGGAGUUUCCUCAAAGAAUUAGCUGGCGGGAACUCUAGGCCUCUGAUCCCAGGAACCAGAGGCUGCCAAAUGCCUUUAAAUGUAGGAAUAAGCAGUUGAGGAACUGGCCUCUCCCAUAAUUAAGGGAUCUCUUCAGGCUCCUGUCUCCUUAUCACUGAAGUGCAGUCAGCCAGAGCCACUGCCAGCUUCCUACAUUACAGAGAAUGAAGAGGGGAAAUCCAGUGAUUUCUCCCUACAGCUAACAAUAAAAUCCCCUUCCCUAUGGAGGGGUCGGGUUGGGGGAGGAGACCUCCAGCAGGGGUCUUCAGUGGAGGGAUCCAGGGUUUCUUUGUGUCCUCUCCAUCUGUUGUAGGAGGAACCAAGGCCACUUGCUCCCACCACCCCAUGACAGUCCAGCCCCACCCUCUCCACUUCCUUCUCUGUAAGCCCAUGUUCUUCAUGCUUUGUCCUCCCCAUGGCAUUAAGUGGAGCCUGGACCCAUUGUUCAACUUUGCUGACAAAACAAGUUCUGUCUUUCCUUCUCUAGCAUGUUCAAGUACACAGUGGCAUCAUCCCAUGUGCCUCAGUGACCCAAAAACAGCUGUUCUCAUUGGUGGAGAAGGAGCCCAGCAACAAUCUUGUAAGGAUCCUUUCUGGACACUACAAACUGGUGCUGCUCCUACAGAUGAUGAUUUCUGGUUCCCAGUGGCUCUGCCCCUUCUGAGUUCUGUGCCACUCUGCUUAUGGGCCACAUUGCCACGUAUGACUUGGACACCAAAUGUGUCUAUGUCUCUGGGGGUGUGAAGGAGGGCACACACCAUAGCAGCAUCUGCAUCCUGGACACAGCCACCUGGAAGUGGCUUCCUAUGGCUGUGAGUAAUGGAGCUUUCCCAGGAGAGGAAAAAAGUGUGGGGAUGGUGGGGAGAAGCUGCUAGGAAUGCAAGAGCAAUGUCUCUGGGCCCUGGGACAUGCCCUCACACUUGUUCCCGUCCUUAUGUUUACAUUGCCCCUGGCUCAGUGUCACAGGCACUGUGAAUUGUCCACUGUUUGUCCAGCUGUGGGAGGGGUAAUUUGUUGGGACCCCUCAGAAGGACAAAGGGGCAAUGGCAUAUCCUUGCUUCCAAUCCACACCCCUGAGUCACUGACUUGUUUCAUCUCUUGGGGUAAGCCAUGGAAAUCCUGUGUCUCCAUCAGAAAAACAGGCUAAAAAACAGUAUUUCACAAAAAACGUAAUAUCAAGUUUCCAGUGAACUGGACUGAUUGCAUCUGAGCCAGGCUUCAUGGGUGGAGAAUAUCUCACUGCCUGUGGGGGAAGUGACCUCCAUUCUUGAGGGGCUGCUGAAAACUGGCCUUAAACAUGCAGGUGGUGAACUGGCUUGGGGUGCUCAGGCUGUGGUACUCCUUACCCAAUGCAGGGGGAAUGGACUUGCUUCUCAUUAGAGAGCUGCACUUCAUCUUUGUGUGCAUUCCCCUUCCCUCCUUAGCUCCUGCAGAGCCAGGGAGAAAGGGAACACCAGGGCAGGUAGUGGCCAAGUUGCUCCCUUCCCUGAGUGUGCAGAAUUAAGGCAUGAGGGAAGUUAGGGUGUGGGUUUAGCAGCUAUGUGCACAAAAUUUUUUUUCCAGUAUGACACUGUGGGUGGUGAUGCUCCUUCCCAUCAUACUCUUAAGAUAAUAGAUAGCUUGGGUGGGGGGAGGAGUGCAUUCAGGUCAGCAAGAGUAGGAAGCAGCAGAGCAGAUGUUGCCUACUUAAGGCACAGAGUUGUGGCCCAGGGACUGGUGGAGUGACACCAGGCACUCGCCAUGCCUCAUUUGGAUGACUGGGCCAGGAUGAACCUGGCCCAUGUUUGAGACAUGAAACCUGAUUGUCGAACUCCUUCUUUAGGUCAAGGAGAAGAUGAGGGUACUGUGCUACCACAGUGCAACCAUCUCUUCAUCUUUGGAGGGGCUUUCCCCAAGACCACAGCACUGGAGUCUGUGGCCUGCAGCAACACGCUCUAUAUCUUCAACUCGGAGUAUGAGAUUUGGUACCAGCCCAUUGUGGAGGAAAAGCCCCUUCCUAGACUUGGGUGAGAAGCUUUUGAUUCAGCCCUCAAAGUCAUAGUCUAGGAGGCAUCCCUUGUUUCUGUCUCCUCAGUCCCUACAUCUCAGAGCAAGUGACUGCUUGAUUGUUCUUCAUGGUCUGGUCCCCAGGGCUGAGUUCAGCCCUAGUUUUAAAUAUCUCCAGUGAGAGUGUUCCCAGCUAUAUUUCCAUGGGAGAGAUGGAGUGCUCUCCAGCAGGUGUGUCAUGGUUGUGGGCAUGUGUAUUGUCUUGGCCCAAAAAGCUGAAGGUUAAUGGCUCCCCCAAAACAUGACCUUUGGGAAUGGAAAUUGGUUUGGAUACCAGGAGGUUCUUGAGGUUGCCUGGCUUACUCACCACCUCUCUUCCCAGCCACUCAGCCACUCUGCUGAGAAACAAUCUCAUAUUUCUGGGGGGGGGCAAAGGACAUCUGGGUACCUGAAUGACAUGUGCAUCCUGGAUGUAGUUGGGAAUGGGACACUACCUUUCCUGUCAGGCUUUACCAGAGCGUUAGGGCAGGGUAGGCAAUAAAGGGCACCCUACCUUAGGAAGGUGCAUUCUGAUGGCUGGGACAAUGGGGCUGAGAGCCCUCAUGCUCAGGACAUGGGAAGAGGAGGUCUGGUUGUAAGAGGCCCUGACUGGGAAGUAGGAACGGGAUGCUACUGGUGUGAGGAAGGCCCUGAUGGGUGGAGAAGGAAUGGUCUGGCCCAGUGGAGGAUAUAAGAAAUGGAAGGCAUUUGCCAUGGCAGAAGUCUGGCUAACAGGGUAGACAAAUUGCUGCCCUGAUGUGAUGGACAAAACCUGUGUUCCUCAUAUUCAGCACAGAGCUCUUUGUCUUGCAGUAGGGCUAGGAAGUGCUGCUAGGCUUGCUCCUCGUUUGCAGUCUUUACUCCUUUUCCCCUGUGCAUCAGGUUACAUGGAGUAUACAACUGUUCCAUUUCUCCCAGGAUAGUCUUCUGCACACUGGUAAGAUCUUGCUGUAGGACCAAGUGCCAACUCUCUUUAUGGCUGGGAGUGGUGUCGAGCUGGAAAAAUUGCUUCCUCCAUACCAGUAGGGCUGCCAUCCAGCACAACUUCCCAUCCCUGGCAGCUGCAUUGGAAAAGAGCUGGAGAAAGGAAGACACCCUGUACUCUGAAUGUGCAGGUCCUGAAGGGAAGCCUUGGCCACCUCAUUAGCACCUUGUAUCUGAGAUAUUCUGGUGCUUUACAGGCACUGCUUAUACCUCACAACAUCAACAGCAGCCAGGGCACAGAAAAGGAAAUGACUUGUUUAGGGUGACCCAGAAAGGCAGUGGCAAAACUGAGACUAGAACUCACAAGUCCUGACUGCUAUCUAUUGUCCAAACCACUCUCCCAUGCUGCUUGUAGGUAAGUCUGCACCCCUAGGAGUUGAAGGGACAGUUUGUUCCCCAAUGGAUUUUGCUCUAGUUUCCGAUUCUAGUUUCCAUGGUGCAACAGCUGUGUCUGAUCAUAGGGUCCUGAUCAGUGGAGGCUGCAAUGUUAAAGGGGCCUUACACUUUCUGCCUUGGUGAGUAACUCUCCAGCCCCUCCUCAGAGCUGCUGUUGGCUGUGGUAACAUUGGUCUCUCUGGCAUGUCUAGCAGCCUUGUGUUCAAUCUUUUGUGCUAUCCCUGGCAUAGAGGGGAUUGUACUGGUGGGAUCCUUUCUGUUGCAGACACUUUCACAUGAAACACAGUAACCCACCAUGACCUCUGCUUUGUAUCCCAAUUUGAACAGAUGCUGCUCAACCUGAUCUCCACUCAUCUGCCUGAUGUUGAUAAAGAAAGAAAGGGCAACCCACAGCCUAUGCACACUGCUUGUCUUCCUUGGCUUAGACUGUGCUGGGACUUUCUAUAACAGCACCAGCAGGAUCCAGUUGGACCUAGGAGAAGAGGCAGCACUUUCUGAGGCCCAGCCUAGAAUGGCAGGGAUUCUGUGCCUGGGCAAAUAGAGGCAGUGAUGGCUAGAUUGUGGAUGGCAAUAAAUGAAUCAAAGCUAUGAAAUGAGGAGUCAGCAUCCAUAUGUUGCUGAAAUCUACCUCAACAAAAGGGACCUUGGAUAGGAAAUCUGUGAGAGUUGCAGAAGCUUCUUGCCUGUUUUGAGGUCUGUGGACACACAGCAUCAAGUGAGGUAGCAAUCUCCUGACUUAGCCUUGCUUUAAAGCCUGUGCUUUGAUAUCUAAUUACCCUACAAAGUCUCAGUUGAAUCUGCAGUGUCCUCCUCACAGUGGAAGUUUUCCUCAGAGACUUGGGCAAUAUGUCUUUUGCUUUCUCCUUCUACACUAUCUCACUUUGUUUCCUUGUCCCAAAUCCCACUUCUUUUUGGCUAAUGUGUGAGUGGCUCUUCCUGCCAUCCUAGAAAUGAAGGUGAAUGCAUGGAUUUAGUCAUGCUUAGUGAGAGAAGAGUUAUUGGCUCAAGGGUGAAAACUGGAAAGACAGCACUGUAGGGUGGCAAUAUGAAAUGUCCACCAAAGCUGGCUGGGUUUCUGAUUGCCACAACUUGGAAAGCCCUCCAAAGAGGUUCCUCUGGUUUGGAAAGACUGCUGGAUGGAUGAGAAUUUCCUCUUGGGAAAUUUUUGGAGCAAAUGAGUGAUUAACUUUCUAAAACUGGCAAAGUAGCUGAAAAUCUGUCUAGUGCCAUGUUGUGGCAGAAGGCCACCUCUGUUUCUUCCCAUAAACUCUGCUCUGUGAUAAUUUGGUUAGGAUGGGCCCAGCAGAGGAUACACACCUUACCCUAUCUCUUUAGGUAACCUGAGUUGGAUACAUUCCUGAGGGAAGGGGGAAACCUGCUCCCUCUGCCUACGUGACUGGCAUCAUAUACCUGGGUGAGGGGCUUGCUCUCUGGGGAGCUAGGAACUGCCAGUCUGCCCAGCAACUAGUAAUGCAUUUCAAAUUGGUUGGCUGACAGCCAGCAGGUGCUGGCCUCCAUUGGACCAGGUAAAUGAGGUCACAAGGGCUAUAUAUAAGUUAAGGACUGCCCAGGAGGAGGGGGCAGCAGCCAUGAGGAAGACUCAGAGAGAGAGAGAGAAGAGCUGGACCAUCUGAAACUUGCUCUCUCUCUCUCAAAACUCAUGAUCAAGGAACUGUCUGCCUCCAGAGGGAAUCUCCACCUGCCUCUGGAUGAUACUUGUGCUGACUCCAUCCCAGAGACAUAUGAAGUGACUUGCUUAUUGUUACACCAUGAGUCAGUGGCAAAUCAGAAACAGCACGUGAGUCUUGUGUCUAAACAGCAAACCAAUUCUCCAGCUACAUUUUAUUUAAAAUCGUUUAUAAAACGUAAAUGUUUGAUGAAUUAUCCCAGUGAUGUCUGCCUAAGAAAUGGUUUGCAGAGAGGGAGGAAUGACAUCAGUGCUGUGAACUCUCUGUUUUAUUGUAUGAUGAUACUAGCCAAUGGGUUUAUUACAGCCUUACUUCCCAGAAUCAGGGACUAAGGAAAAAUAUCAGCUUUCUUUUUUCAAGUAAGCCAUUAGCCUUCAGGCUUAGAGAGCAAAGCCAGAAGAUACCACCCCUAAAAGACUCAAUAACCAGACAGCAAACACAAGGUAGACAACACAAUUUUUGUUGAUAUUUCUUUGGGGACCUUGCUCAAGGUUUUGGAAGAGUUGGGGGCUGGCAGUACUGUGAUGAGACAAUGCCUUCUCUUGAAUACACCUAUUUCCUGGUUCUACUCUCAGAAUUAGGGAAGACAUUUUUCUCGUUAUUCUCAGUGUAGGUUUUUUUCCCCAAUCUGCAGUAAUUUGUGAACUAAAUUGUAGCAUGCUAAUUGCUUUGCUCUGUAACUUCAGGAGCUCCAGAGACUUUACUAACAGAUCAUUGAAAACAACUCUUCCCUCUGCUGGGAAGUGUCUCCAAAGCAUAGCCCUUGGGGCAAUCUCUAAAUGUAUCCAGUUUUGCUCCUGAGCUAUACUUUGGAAGAAACACUCAGCUCAUGAAAGGGAGCAGGUGGCAAGAGCUUUAUUUUUUUUUAAGGAAAUUUUUUCGUGACCCAGGUCAAAUUAGCCAGAUUAGGUACAAAUCAGUUUGAAUCAUGCAAGAACCAUAUGUGGCCCUGCUACCGGCAAGUAUUCUCCACCCCAGCCCCAGGCUUCAUAUACUUCCAAAUCCUUUAGCAGGCAUCCUACAUGCAAGCCCAAGCCCAGAGGCUUGGGAUUCAGAUACCCCUGAGUUUCGCUUGCCCUCAGCCGUACGGCCAGAGCUUAUGCUCCUCUCUAAUGCCUAAGGGAAAGACAGAGGAGAGAAGAAAGGGAUAAUGAGGAAGCAGGUGGCUCCUGUUGAUAACCUCAUGCAGUCACAGAAGGGUUGAAAGCAGGGUCUUUGUCAUAGGUGUAGUAAAAAGAUGUUAGCCCCCAUAAUUUUGCAGUAAUGCUUGAGCAACAACCAUAUGAUAGAAGUGUCUUAUGACCAUCUUAUGACCCUUUUGUGUAAAGAUCAGGAGGUCUAAUGUCCAAGCUGUGGUUCUUACUGCUUGCCUUGCAUUUUGAAAUCAUCUCUGUCCAGUGCCUUAAGGUUACGUUAAGAUAAGAAGUUACUAAAGUUUAACUUUGUUGAAAUUGCUCUUUUCUUCUGAGCAUGCUGCAAUUCUACCUUUGAGUGCGCACGUACUAACCCUGAUAAGUCACAUUAACCAAUAACUAGUUAAGUACAGCCUACAAGAUAAGACGUCACAAUUAGGAACUGGUACUGCAGCCAAUAAACUUCUAGUACGUCAAGACUCUGUUGAAUGUAAGCUAUAAAAAUGUGAUUCCAGGCCAGACUCAUCGUCGGCCCUGAUUUGAGCUCUCUGCUCCUCAGUCGAACUGUUUGCAAACAAUAAACCUAGAUGGACCCAG